rnacentral:rRNA from 1 species
UUCUGUUUGAUCCCGGCGGAGGCUACUGCUAUUGGGAUUCGAUUAAGCCAUGCAAGUUGAAUGAAUUUAGAUUCAUGGCGUACGGCUCAGUAACACGUGGAUAACUUACCCUUAGGACUGGGAUAACUCUGGGAAACUGGGGAUAAUACUGGAUAUUAGGCUAUGCCUGGAAUGGUUUGCCUUUGAAAUGUUUUUUCGCCUAAGGAUAGAUCUGCGGCUGAUUAGGUCGUUGGUGGGGUAAUGGCCCACCAAGCCGAUGAUCGGUACGGGUUGUGAGAGCAAGAGCCCGGAGAUGGAACCUGAGACAAGGUUCCAGACCCUACGGGGUGCAGCAGGCGCGAAACCUCCGCAAUGUACGAAAGUGCGACGGGGGGAUCCCAAGUGUCAUGCUUUUUUGUAUGACUUUUCAUUAGUGUAAAAAGCUUUUAGAAUAAGAGCUGGGCAAGACCGGUGCCAGCCGCCGCGGGUACCCCGGCAGCUCGAGUGGUAGCUGUUUUUAUUGGGCCUAAAGCGUUCGUAGCCGGUUUGAUAAGUCUUUGGUGAAAGCUUGUAGCUUAAACUAUAGAAUUGCUGGAGAUACUAUCAGACUUGAAGUCGGNAGAGGUAGAGGUACUACCGGGGUAGGGUGAA